UACGAGGGGGGCAACUGUUGUUCGGAAUCACUGGGCGUAAAGGGAGCGUAGGCGGGUUUUUAAGUCAGGUGUUUAAUCCCGGGGCCCAACCCCGGACAGGCACUUGAAACUGGGAAUCUUGAAUAGUGGAGAGGUCAGUGGAAUUGGGGGUGUAGCGGUGAAAUGCGUAGAGAUGGGGGAGAACACGUGUGGCGAAGGCGGCCAGCUGGACCAAAUCUGACACUGAGGCGCGACAGCGUGGGGAGCAAACAGG
rnacentral:rRNA from 1 species